CGCGUAGGCGGCUACCUAAGUCUCGGGUGAAAUCUUUCGGCUUAACCGGAAACGUGCCUGGGAUACUGGGUAGCUGGAGGGAGAUAGGGGCGGACGGAACUUCCGGUGGAGCGGUGAAAUGCGUUGAUAUCGGAAGGAACGCCGGUGGCGAAAGCGGUCCGCUGGAUCUCUACUGACGCUGAGGCGCGAAAGCCAGGGGAGCAAACGGGAUUAGAUACCCCGGUAGUCCUGGCCCUAAACGAUGGGUACUGGGUAGUGGGCUGUCAUGGGCUCACUGCCGCAGCAAAAGUGGUAAGUACCCCGCCUGGGGAGUAUGGUCGCAAGGCUGAA
rnacentral:rRNA from 1 species